GAUGAACGCUGGCGGCGUGCCUAAUACAUGCAAGUCGAGCGAACAGACGAGGAGCUUGCUCCUCUGACGUUAGCGGCGGGCGGGUGAGUAACACGUGGAUAACCUACCUAUAAGACUGGGAUAACUUCGGGAAACCGGAGCUAAUACCGGAUAACAUGUUGAACCGCAUGGUUCAACAGUGAAAGACGGUCUUGCUGUCACUUAUAGAUGGAUCCGCGCCGCAUUAGCUAGUUGGUAAGGUAACGGCUUACCAAGGCAACGAUGCGUAGCCGACCUGAGAGGGUGAUCGGCCACACUGGAACUGAGACACGGUCCAGACUCCUACGGGAGGCAGCAGUAGGGAAUCUUCCGCAAUGGGCGAAAGCCUGACGGAGCAACGCCGCGUGAGUGAAGAAGGUCUUCGGAUCGUAAAACUCUGUUAUUAGGGAAGAACAAAUGUGUAAGUAACUAUGCACGUCUUGACGGUACCUAACCAGAAAGCCACGGCUAACUACGUG
rnacentral:rRNA from 1 species